UCGAGGGGCAGCACGUCUUCGGAUGGUGGCGACCGGCGCACGGGUGCGUAACGCGUAUACAAUCUGCCUCUUACUGCGGGAUAGCCCAGAGAAAUUUGGAUUAACACCGCAUAGUAUAACGGUUCGGCAUCGGACGGUUAUUAAAGGCCACGGUAAGAGAUGAGUAUGCGUUCUAUUAGCUAGAUGGUAAGGUAACGGCUUACCAUGGCAACGAUAGAUAGGGGCCCUGAGAGGGGGAUCCCCCACACUGGUACUGAGACACGGACCAGACUCCUACGGGAGGCAGCAGUGAGGAAUAUUGGACAAUGGAGGCAACUCUGAUCCAGCCAUGCCGCGUGCAGGAAGACGGCCCUAUGGGUUGUAAACUGCUUUUAUACGGGAAGAAACACCGCUACGUGUAGCGGCUUGACGGUACCGUAAGAAUAAGGAUCGGCUAACUCCGUGCCAGCAGCCGCGGUAAUACGGAGGAUCCAAGCGUUAUCCGGAAUCAUUGGGUUUAAAGGGUCCGUAGGUGGAUAAUUAAGUCAGAGGUGAAAUCCUGCCGCUCAACGGUAGAAUUGCCUUUGAUACUGGUUAUCUUGAAUCAAUGUGAAGUGGUUAGAAUAUGUAGUGUAGCGGUGAAAUGNAU
rnacentral:rRNA from 1 species